rnacentral:rRNA from 1 species
AGCCCAGCGCUGAAUCCUGCGGCCCCGGCGGGCCGCCGGGAAAUGUAGCGUUCGGGAGGAGAGUUAUACAUACACGCGCGGUCAUUAGUCACGGCUGCCUGUCCAAGUUCAUCUUGAACGGGGCCCGCUUACCCGCAGAGGGUGCCAGGCCCGUGGUGACGGUAGCCGGCCGCGACGGUCUCUCUCCCUAGAGUCGGGUUGCUUGAGAGUGCAGCCCUAAGUGGGUGGUAAACUCCAUCUAAGGCUAAAUACUACCACGAGACCGAUAGCGAACAAGUACCGUGAGGGAAAGUUGAAAAGAACUUUGAAGAGAGAGUUAAAGAGUACGUGAAACCGUUCAGGGGUAAACCUGUGGAACUCAAACGAGCGAACGGGGAGAUCAUCGUGUCUUCCGUCGGGGCUCGCGCCUCGCGCGCACCUUCGCCUUCGGCUCUCGGGUCGGGGCGGAGGGCGCGCGGGUGCGUCGUCAGGCUCCCGGAGCGCGUGCACUUCUCCCUUAGUAUAACACCGCGACCCGUCGCGCCGCGGUCGAAUGCGCCGUGCGGUUGACCCGUCUCGCUCUGCGAGGCGGAGCCGCGGUGUCCACGGCCGCGGCGUACAUUACGCAGCGACGGUAGAGAACGAGGAUCGCGUCCGCCCCCAGCGGGCGUCCGUCGCGCUGCAGCGGCGUCCUUCGCGUGGCCCCCGGCGUCUAGUGCGUCGCGGGUGUCGCGAGUCGGGUGUCCGUCGUUAGCGGCGCGCUCUCGGACGGGACGCGUCCCGGUCGGCGGUGGUUUUGUUUUGGGCACUCACAGGACCCGUCUUGAAACACGGACCAAGGAGUCUAGCAUGUGCGCGAGUCAUUGGGAACACUGAUAAACCCAGAGGCGAAAUGAAAGUGAAAGGCCGGCCUCGAGCCGGUCGCAGGGAAGAUGCGCGGGCGUCGUCAGACGCCCCGCCGCAUUCCCGAGGCGUUUCGAGAAAGCCCCCGUGCNAUUANCGAAACGCACNGAGAGCAGGACCGAAGCGAUUCUGACGUGCAAAUCGAUCGUCCGAACUGGGUAUAGGGGCGAAAGACUAAUCGAACUAUCUAAUAGCUGGUUCCAUCCGAAGUUUCCCUCAGGAUAGCUGGCGCUCGAGAAACAUGACGGUUUUCGGACCGCCAUUCGCACAGUCUCAUCCGGUAAAGCGAAUGAUUAGAGGCAUUGGGGCCGAAAUGGCCUCCACCUAUUCUCAAACUUUAAAUGGGUGAGAUCUCCUUCUUGCUCGAAGAUGAAGUAGGAGCUCGGAUGGGAGUGCCAAGUGGGCCAAUUUUGGUAAGCAGAACUGGCGCUGUGGGAUGAACCAAACGUCGAGUUAAGGCGCCCAAUGAACGCUCAUCGGAUACCAUAAAAGGCGUUGGUCGCUCAGGACAGCAGGACGGUGGCCAUGGAAGUCGGAAUCCGCUAAGGAGUGUGUAACAACUCACCUGCCGAAGCAACCAGCCCUGAAAAUGGAUGGCGCUGUAGCGUUCAGCCUAUACUCGACCGUCGCAGGCAAGCGGGGCGUUCGUGCGGCUCCGGCCGCGCGAUCGUUUUUAAGCCGCGACGAGUAGGAUGGCCGAGGCGGUGCGCGCAGAAGGGUCUGGGCGUGAGCCCGCCUGGAGCCGCCGUCUGCGCAGAUCUUGGUGGUAGUAGCAAAUACUCAAGCGAGGUCCUUGAGGGCUGAUGUGGAGAAGGGUUUCGCGUUAACAGCCGUUGCACGCGAGUUAGUCGAUCCUAAGCCCUAGGAGAAAUCCGAUGUUGAUGAUGGUGUAAAGUUAUAUAAUUUAUAAAAUGAUUAUUUUCUUAAAAGUACACCCGUCGGGCGAAAGGGAAUCCGGUUGCAGUUCCGGAACCCGGCUGCGGAACCGUCUUAAAAAUCGUUCCCUCGCAAGAGAGUUCGUCGGGGUGACCCAAAGUGGCCUGAAGACGCCGACGGGAGAUCCGGAGAGAGUUAUCUUUUCUGCCUGAGCGUUCGAGCGCCCUGGAAUCCCAUAGCGGGGAGAUAGGGCUCGGGACGCGAAGAGCAUCGCCGAUGCGGCGGUGUCCGGAUCGGCCCCUCGGACCUUGAAAAUUCAGGUGAGGGAUACGCGGAGAUGUCGCGCCGGCUCGUACCCAUAUCCGCAGCAGGNCUCNAUAUGUAGGUAAGGGAAGUCGGCAAGUUGGAUCCGUAACUUCGGGAUAAGGAUUGGCUCUGAGGGCCGUGGCGUGUCGGGCCUGGUCGGGAAGAGGUCAUCGGCCGAGACGUGGAAGCCGGGCGGGGUCUCCCCGCGUGGUGCUCUAGGGUGCCGCGCGGGUGUGGAUCUCCGUCACCCGGCGCCUCGCCUUGGCCUCCCCUCGGAUCUUCCUCGCUGUGUGGUGCCGGCGCGUUCGCGCGCGCUCGGUUACCUGUACGGCCGCCGGACGACGGUCAACUCAGAACUGGCACGGACAAGGGGAAUCCGACUGUCUAAUUAAAACAAAGCAUUGCGAUGGCCCUCGCGGGUGUUGACGCAAUGUGA